rnacentral:rRNA from 2 species
GGAAGCAGCUUGCUGCUUUGCUGACGAGUGGCGGACGGGUGAGUAAUGUCUGGGAAACUGCCUGAUGGAGGGGGAUAACUACUGGAAACGGUGGCUAAUACCGCAUAACGUCGCAAGACCAAAGAGGGGGACCUUCGGGCCUCUUGCCAUCAGAUGUGCCCAGAUGGGAUUAGCUUGUUGGUGAGGUAACGGCUCACCAAGGCGACGAUCCCUAGCUGGUCUGAGAGGAUGACCAGCCACACUGGAACUGAGACACGGUCCAGACUCCUACGGGAGGCAGCAGUGGGGAAUAUUGCACAAUGGGCGCAAGCCUGAUGCAGCCAUGCCGCGUGUAUGAAGAAGGCCUUCGGGUUGUAAAGUACUUUCAGCGGGGAGGAAGGUGUUGUGGUUAAUAACCGCAGCAAUUGACGUUACCCGCAGAAGAAGCACCGGCUAACUCCGUGCCAGCAGCCGCGGUAAUACGGAGGGUGCAAGCGUUAAUCGGAAUUACUGGGCGUAAAGCGCACGCAGGCGGUCUGUCAAGUCGGAUGUGAAAUCCCCGGGCUCAACCUGGGAACUGCAUUCGAAACUGGCAGGCUUGAGUCUUGUAGAGGGGGGUAGAAUUCCAGGUGUAGCGGUGAAAUGCGUAGAGAUCUGGAGGAAUACCGGUGGCGAAGGCGGCCCCCUGGACAAAGACUGACGCUCAGGUGCGAAAGCGUGGGGAGCAAACAGGAUUAGAUACCCUGGUAGUCCACGCCGUAAACGAUGUCUACUUGGAGGUUGUGCCCUUGAGGCGUGGCUUCCGGAGCUAACGCGUUAAGUAGACCGCCUGGGGAGUACGGCCGCAAGGUUAAAACUCAAAUGAAUUGACGGGGGCCCGCACAAGCGGUGGAGCAUGUGGUUUAAUUCGAUGCAACGCGAAGAACCUUACCUGGUCUUGACAUCCACAGAAGAAUCCAGAGAUGGAUUUGUGCCUUCGGGAACUGUGAGACAGGUGCUGCAUGGCUGUCGUCAGCUCGUGUUGUGAAAUGUUGGGUUAAGUCCCGCAACGAGCGCAACCCUUAUCCUUUGUUGCCAGCGGUUAGGCCGGGAACUCAAAGGAGACUGCCAGUGAUAAACUGGAGGAAGGUGGGGAUGACGUCAAGUCAUCAUGGCCCUUACGACCAGGGCUACACACGUGCUACAAUGGCGCAUACAAAGAGAAGCGACCUCGCGAGAGCAAGCGGACCUCAUAAAGUGCGUCGUAGUCCGGAUUGGAGUCUGCAACUCGACUCCAUGAAGUCGGAAUCGCUAGUAAUCGUGGAUCAGAAUGCCACGGUGAAUACGUUCCCGGGCCUUGUACACACCGCCCGUCACACCAUGGGAGUGGGUUGCAAAAGAAGUAGGUAGCUUAACCUUCGGGAGGGCGCUUACCACUUUGUGAUUCAUGACUGGGGUGAAGUCGUAACAAGGUAACCGUAGGGGAACCUGCGGUUGGAUCACCUCCUUACCUUAAAGAA